GAUGAACGCUGGCGGCGUGCCUAAUACAUGCAAGUCGAGCGAACGGACGAGAAGCUUGCUUCUCUGAUGUUAGCGGCGGACGGGUGAGUAACACGUGGAUAACCUACCUAUAAGACUGGGAUAACUUCGGGAAACCGGAGCUACUACCGGAUGAUAUUUUGAACCGCAUGGUUCAAAAGUGAAAGACGGUCUUGCUGUCACUUAUAGAUGGAUCCGCGCUGCAUUAGCUAGUUGGUAAGGUAACGGCUUACCAAGGCAACGAUGCAUAGCCGACCUGAGAGGGGGAUCGGCCACACUGCAACUGAGACACGGUCCAGACUCCUACGGGAGGCAGCAGUAGGGAAUCUUCCUCAAUGGGCGAAGGCCUGACGGAGCAACGCCGCGUGAUUGAUGAAGGUCGUCGGAUCGUAAAACUCUGUUAUUAGGGAAGAACAUAUGUGUAAGUAACUGUGCACAUCUUGACGGUACCUAAUCAGAAAGCCACGGCUAACUACGUG
rnacentral:rRNA from 1 species